GGCCAUCCAAGAGUUCUGGAAUAUUGAACGAGGUUUUCUUCGCGGAUCCUUAGUUUGGUUAUUUAUGCAAUACACAUUCUUAUAAUUGCAUUGCAUUGCACUGGAGCAAGUUAUGAAGAAAAGUGAUGCAGCACUAGCAGCUCCUCACCCAUCAAAAAAAACGGAGGAAGGUCGAGACCAGAAUGAAGCGCAGCAGAGCUGUGAAUCAGACCAUCAGUAUCAGAUUAUAGCUGGAGAAAAAUCACUGAGUCCAUCACAGAACAUCAGCCAAGAGCGAACUAAAGCAAGUCAAGCCCGGCCGUUCACGUGCCUCCAGUGCGGGAAGACCUUCAAACGGGCCACGGAUGUCAAAGGUCACCUGCGCUAUCACUCAGGCGAGAGGCCUUUCACCUGCGACCAGUGCGGGAAGAAAUUCAUCUUGGCGUCGCACUUAAAAACACAUCUCUCCAUUCAUUCAAAUGAGAAGCCUUUCUUGUGCUCUAUCUGUGGCAAGAGUUUCUCACGCCUCUGUACUUUCAAAGAUCACGAGAACAUCCACACCGGCGUGAGAGCGCACACUUGCUCCGAGUGCGGGAGCGCAUUCGUCACGGCCAACGCACUGAAGAUGCACCAGCGCGUUCACACCGGAGAGAAACCCUACAAGUGUUCACACUGCGGCCGGAGCUUCAGUCACUCGGGAGCGCUGAAGAGACACGAGCGCGUUCACACCGGAGAGAGACCCUACCACUGCCCUCUCUGCGGCCGGAGCUUCACACAGUCCAGUAAUCUGCUGACACACGUCAAGAGACACUGUCCGAAGUCACGCUGAUCAAACCAGGACCACAUGUGAACACAGCCACAUUCAGAAGCAAAGACAGUAAUCCCCAGUCACUAGGGAUGUAACGAUGAAUCGCGAGCCGGUUGAAAAUCAAUUUCAAAAUGGGUUGAGAUGCUCAACAAAGUUUAGAUGGUAUUUUUUUCUGUUCAUCUUGCCUCUCUAUAAUGCAUAUUAAAGUUCAGAAGUGCAGUGUUGCUUUGUUUACCGCGGUAACCAAGGAAACACUUUAAGCUCCACCUGCUGCGGUGUUCAUAAGUGCUUUGUUUACCGCAGUAACCAAAGCAACGCUUUAAGCUCCACCCGCUGCGGUGUUCAUAAGUGCUUUGUUUACCCCGGUAACAAAGGAAACACUUUAAGCUCCACCCACUGCGCUGUUCAUAAUGCUUUGUUUACAACGGUAACCAAGGAAACGCUUUAAGCGCCACCCGCUGCGGUGUUUGUAUGUGCUCUGUUUAUCACGGUAACCAAGGCAACGCUUUAA